ensembl:miRNA gga-mir-135b gga-mir-135b
GGUGAAAGAGGGCUUGUGGGGAAAGGGACCUUUGCUUUGUUCUCUAUGGCUUUUUAUUCCUUUUGCU